rnacentral:rRNA from 1 species
GACGGUAGGCGCGAGCGUUGUCCGGAUUUAUUGGGCGUAAAGAGCUCGUAGGCGGUUUGUCGCGUCUGCUGUGAAAACCCGAGGCUCAACCUCGGGCCUGCAGUGGGUACGGGCAGACUAGAGUGCGGUAGGGGAGAUUGGAAUUCCUGGUGUAGCGGUGGAAUGCGCAGAUAUCAGGAGGAACACCGGUGGCGAAGGCGGGUCUCUGGGCCGAUACUGACGCUGAGGAGCGAAAGCGUGGGGAGCGAACAGG